rnacentral:rRNA from 1 species
UAUUGCACAAUGGGGGAAACCCUGACGCGGCGACGCCGCGUGAGUGAAGAAGUAUUUCGGUAUGUAAAGCUCUAUCAGCAGGGAAGAUAAUGACGGUACCUGACUAAGAAGCCCCGGCUAACUACGUGCCAGCAGCCGCGGUAAUACGUAGGGGGCAAGCGUUAUCCGGAUUUACUGGGUGUAAAGGGAGCGUAGGUGGCAGGGCAAGUCAGAUGUGAAAACCCGGGGCUCAACCCCGGGAGUGCAUUUGAAACUGUCCAGCUGGAGUGCAGGAGAGGUAAGCGGAAUUCCUAGUGUUGCGGCGAAAUGCAUAGAUAUUAGGAGGAACACCAGUGGCGAAGGCGGCUUACUGGACUGUAACUGACGCUGAGGCACGAAAGCGUGGGUAUCGAACAGG